UACGGAGGAUGCAAGCGUUAUCCGGAAUGAUUGGGCGUAAAGCGUCCGCAGGUGGCUAUGUAAGUCUGCUGUUAAAGAGUGAGGCUCAACCUCAUAAGAGCAGUGGAAACUACAUGGCUAGAGUGCGUUCGGGGCAGAGGGAAUUCCUGGUGUAGCGGUGAAAUACGUAGAGAUCAGGAAGAACACCGGUGGCGAAAGCGCUCUGCUAGGCCGCAACUGACACUCAUGGACGAAAGCUAGGGGAGCGAAUGGG
rnacentral:rRNA from 1 species